GGACUACAGGGGUAUCUAAUCCUGUUUGCUCCCCACGCUUUCGUGUCUGAGUGUCAGUGCUGGUCCAGGUAGCCGCCUUCGCCACUGGUGUUCCUCCCGAUCUCUACGCAUUUCACCGCUACACCGGGAAUUCCACUACCCUCUACCGCACUCUAGCUCGCCAGUAUCCACUGCCAUUCCCAGGUUGAGCCCGGGGAUUUCACAGCAGACUUAACGAACCACCUGCACACGCUUUACGCCCAGUAAUUCCGAGUAACGCUUGCACCCUUCGUAUUACCGCGGCUGCUGGCAC
rnacentral:rRNA from 1 species